UACGUAGGGUGCAAGCGUUGUCCGGAAUUAUUGGGCGUAAAGAGCUCGUAGGCGGUCUGUCACGUCGGCUGUGAAAUCCCGAGGCUCAACCUCGGGUCUGCAGUCGAUACGGGCAAACUAGAGUAUUGCAGGGGAGACUGGAAUUCCUGGUGUAGCGGUGAAAUGCGCAGAUAUCAGGAGGAACACCGGUGGCGAAGGCGGGUCUCUGGGCAAUAACUGACGCUGAGGAGUGAAAGCGUGGGGAGCGAACAGG
rnacentral:rRNA from 1 species